UACGAAGGGGGCGAGCGUUGUUCGGAAUUACUGGGCGUAAAGGGAGCGUAGGCGGGUUCUUAAGUAAGGUGUUUAAUCCCGGGGCCCAACCCCGGACCGGCACUUUAAACUGGGAAUCUUGAAUAGUGGAGAGGUCAGUGGAAUUGGGGGUGUAGCGGUGGAAUGCGUAGAGAUCCCCAAGAACACCAGUUGCGAAGGCGGCUGACUGGACACAUAUUGACGCUGAGGCUCGAAAGCAUGGGGAGCAAACAGG
rnacentral:rRNA from 1 species